GACGAACGCUGGCGGCGUGCCUAAUACAUGCAAGUUGAGCGCUGAAGGUUGGUACUUGUACCAACUGGAUGAGCAGCGCACGGGUGAGUAACGCGUGGGGAAUCUGCCUUUGAGCGGGGGACAACAUUUGGAAACGAAUGCUAAUACCGCAUAAAAACUUUAAACACAAGUUUUAAGUUUGAAAGAUGCAAUUGCAUCACUCAAAGAUGAUCCCGCGUUGUAUUAGCUAGUUGGUGAGGUAAAGGCUCACCAAGGCGAUGAUACAUAGCCGACCUGAGAGGGUGAUCGGCCACAUUGGGACUGAGACACGGCCCAAACUCCUACGGGAGGCAGCAGUAGGGAAUCUUCGGCAAUGGACGAAAGUCUGACCGAGCAACGCCGCGGGAGUGAAGAAGGUUUUCGGAUCGUAAAGCUCUGUUGGUAGAGAAGAACGUUGGUGAGAGUGGAAAGCUCAUCAAGCGACGGUAACUACCCAGAAAGGGACGGCUAACUACGUG
rnacentral:rRNA from 1 species